UACGGAGGGAGCUAGCGUUGUUCGGAAUUACUGGGCGUAAAGCGUACGUAGGCGGUUAUUCAAGUCAGAGGUGAAAGCCCGGGGCUCAACCCCGGAACGGCCUUUGAAACUAGGUAGCUAGAGUCUUGGAGAGGUUAGUGGAAUUCCGAGUGUAGAGGUGAAAUUCGUAGAUAUUCGGAAGAACACCAGUGGCGAAGGCGACUAACUGGACAAGUACUGACGCUGAGGUGCGAAAGCGUGGGGAGCAAACAGG
rnacentral:rRNA from 1 species